UUUCCGUAGGGUGAACCUGCGGAAGGAUCAUUAAUGAAUUUUAGGACUCUCUUUUUAGAGGUCCGACCAUUUCAUUUCCUUACACUGUGCACACACUUCUUUUUCACACAUUUUAACACUAUAGUAUAAGAAUGUAACAGUCUCUUAAUUGAGCAUAAAUAAAAAUAAAACUUUCAGCAACGGAUCUCUUGGCUCUCGCAUCGAUGAAGAACGCAGCGAAUUGCGAUAAGUAAUGUGAAUUGCAGAAUUCAGUGAAUCAUCGAAUCUUUGAACGCACCUUGCACUCUUUGGUAUUCCGAAGAGUAUGUCUGUUUGAGUGUCAUGAAACUCUCAACCCCCUUAUUUUGUAAUGAGAUAAGUGUGGGCUUGGAUUAUGGCUGCUGUCGGCGUAAUUGCCGGCUCAGCUGAAAUACACGAGCAACCCAUUUGAAAUAAACGGCUUGACUCGGCGUAAUAAUUAUUUCGCUGAGGACGUUUUCUUCAAAAGUAAGAGGUGCUUCUAAUGCGCUUUUUAAAGCAAUUUAAGCUUUAGACCUCAAAUCAGUCAGGACUACCCGCUGAACUUAAGCAUAUCAAUAAGCGGAGGAAAAGG
rnacentral:rRNA from 1 species